rnacentral:rRNA from 1 species
CCGAGAUUCCCCCAGUAGCGGCGAGCGAACGGGGAGGAGCCCAGAGCCUGAAUCAGCAUGUGUGUUAGUGGAAGCGUCUGGAAAGGCGCGCGAUACAGGGUGACAGCCCCGUACACAAAAGCGCAUGUGCUGUGAGCUCGAUGAGUAGGGCGGGACACGUGGUAUCCUGUCUGAAUAUGGGGGGACCAUCCUCCAAGGCUAAAUACUCCUGACUGACCGAUAGUGAACCAGUACCGUGAGGGAAAGGCGAAAAGAACCCCGGCGAGGGGAGUGAAAAAGAACCUGAAACCGUGUACGUACAAGCAGUGGGAGCACCCUUUGGGGUGUGACUGCGUACCUUUUGUAUAAUGGGUCAGCGACUUAUAUUCUGUAGCAAGGUUAACCGUAUAGGGGAGCCGGAGGGAAACCGAGUCUUAACCGGGCGUUAAGUUGCAGGGUAUAGACCCGAAACCCGGUGAUCUAGCCAUGGGCAGGUUGAAGGUUGGGUAACACUAACUGGAGGACCGAACCGACUAAUGUUGAAAAAUUAGCGGAUGACCUGUGGCUGGGGGUGAAAGGCCAAUCAAACCGGGAGAUAGCUGGUUCUCCCCGAAAGCUAUUUAGGUAGCGCCUCGUGAAUUCAUCUCCGGGGGUAGAGCACUGUUUCGGCUAGGGGGCCAUCCCGGCUUACCAACCCGAUGCAAACUGCGAAUACCGGAGAAUGUUAUCACGGGAGACACACGGCGGGUGCUAACGUCCGUCGUGAAGAGGGAAACAACCCAGACCGCCAGCUAAGGUCCCAAAGUCAUGGUUAAGUGGGAAACGAUGUGGGAAGGCCCAGACAGCCAGGAUGUUGGCUUAGAAGCAGCCAUCAUUUAAAGAAAGCGUAAUAGCUCACUGGUCGAGUCGGCCUGCGCGGAAGAUGUAACGGGGCUAAACCAUGCACCGAAGCUGCGGCAGCGACACUCAGGUGUUGUUGGGUAGGGGAGCGUUCUGUAAGCCUGCGAAGGUGUGUCGUGAGGCAUGCUGGAGGUAUCAGAAGUGCGAAUGCUGACAUAAGUAACGAUAAAGCGGGUGAAAAGCCCGCUCGCCGGAAGACCAAGGGUUCCUGUCCAACGUUAAUCGGGGCAGGGUGAGUCGACCCCUAAGGCGAGGCCGAAAGGCGUAGUCGAUGGGAAACGGGUUAAUAUUCCCGUACUUGGUGUUACUGCGAAGGGGGGACGGAGAAGGCUAUGUUGGCCGGGCGACGGUUGUCCCGGUUUAAGCGUGUAGGUGUGUGUUCCAGGUAAAUCCGGUUCACUUUAACACUGAGGCGUGACGACGAGGCACUACGGUGCUGAAGCAACAAAUGCCCUGCUUCCAGGAAAAGCCUCUAAGCAUCAGGUAACAUCAAAUCGUACCCCAAACCGACACAGGUGGUCAGGUAGAGAAUACCAAGGCGCUUGAGAGAACUCGGGUGAAGGAACUAGGCAAAAUGGUGCCGUAACUUCGGGAGAAGGCACGCUGACACGUAGGUGAAGUGAUUUACUCACGGAGCUGAAGUCAGUCGAAGAUACCAGCUGGCUGCAACUGUUUAUUAAAAACACAGCACUGUGCAAACACGAAAGUGGACGUAUACGGUGUGACGCCUGCCCGGUGCCGGAAGGUUAAUUGAUGGGGUCAGCGCAAGCGAAGCUCCUGAUCGAAGCCCCGGUAAACGGCGGCCGUAACUAUAACGGUCCUAAGGUAGCGAAAUUCCUUGUCGGGUAAGUUCCGACCUGCACGAAUGGCGUAAUGAUGGCCAGGCUGUCUCCACCCGAGACUCAGUGAAAUUGAACUCGCUGUGAAGAUGCAGUGUACCCGCGGCAAGACGGAAAGACCCCGUGAACCUUUACUAUAGCUUGACACUGAACAUUGAGCCUUGAUGUGUAGGAUAGGUGGGAGGCUUUGAAGUGUGGACGCCAGUCUGCAUGGAGCCGACCUUGAAAUACCACCCUUUAAUGUUUGAUGUUCUAACGUGGACCCGUAAUCCGGGUUGCGGACAGUGUCUGGUGGGUAGUUUGACUGGGGCGGUCUCCUCCUAAAGAGUAACGGAGGAGCACGAAGGUUGGCUAAUCCUGGUCGGACAUCAGGAGGUUAGUGCAAUGGCAUAAGCCAGCUUGACUGCGAGCGUGACGGCGCGAGCAGGUGCGAAAGCAGGUCAUAGUGAUCCGGUGGUUCUGAAUGGAAGGGCCAUCGCUCAACGGAUAAAAGGUACUCCGGGGAUAACAGGCUGAUACCGCCCAAGAGUUCAUAUCGACGGCGGUGUUUGGCACCUCGAUGUCGGCUCAUCACAUCCUGGGGCUGAAGUAGGUCCCAAGGGUAUGGCUGUUCGCCAUUUAAAGUGGUACGCGAGCUGGGUUUAGAACGUCGUGAGACAGUUCGGUCCCUAUCUGCCGUGGGCGCUGGAGAACUGAGGGGGGCUGCUCCUAGUACGAGAGGACCGGAGUGGACGCAUCACUGGUGUUCGGGUUGUCAUGCCAAUGGCACUGCCCGGUAGCUAAAUGCGGAAGAGAUAAGUGCUGAAAGCAUCUAAGCACGAAACUUGCCCCGA